GUAGCUACUGCGGUGCUGAGCUUCUUCUACAGGCAACUUUCUGGCAAACUGGGAAUAUUUUAGAGGAUAUGAAAAAUUUGACCAACUCCAAAGGUUACCUGUUGUGGAAACUUAUAGUAUUCUUGCAUCUUUUUCUACUUAAUAUUCACAUAGAUCUCUACAUUCUCGCCCUUUCUCUCCUUUAGCUGGGGACAAGAAAUAAAUGUUUUCUUUUAUUUCUUACUAGAUUCCCAGGGAUUGCCACGAGGUUUUAAUCACGUUAUGCCUGCCGUUCAUAAGGAAGUCAAGGAUGACUCUAUGCGAGGAAAUUUUCUGGCGGCAACUGGAAGGAAAGAGUCGGAUAAAAGACUUCUUUCUUUAAUUGCAAAGCAUUUUUGGAAAG